GAUGAACGCUGGCGGCGUGCCUAAUACAUGCAAGUAGAACGCUGAAGCUUGGUGCUUGCACCGAGCGGAUGAGUUGCGAACGGGUGAGUAACGCGUAGGUAACCUGCCUGGUAGCGGGGGAUAACUAUUGGAAACGAUAGCUAAUACCGCAUGACAACAGUUAUUGCAUGAUAACUGUUUAAAAGGGGCAACUGCUCCACUACCAGAUGGACCUGCGUUGUAUUAGCUAGUUGGUGAGGUAACGGCUCACCAAGGCGACGAUACAUAGCCGACCUGAGAGGGUGAUCGGCCACACUGGGACUGAGACACGGCCCAGACUCCUACGGGAGGCAGCAGUAGGGAAUCUUCCGCAAUGGACGCAAGUCUGACGGAGCAACGCCGCGUGAGUGAAGAAGGUUUUCGGAUCGUAAAACUCUGUUGUUAGAGAAGAACGAGUGUGAGAGUGGAAAGUUCACACUG
rnacentral:rRNA from 1 species